GAAAAGAAACUAACAAGGAUUCCCCUAGUAACUGCGAGUGAAGCGGGAAAAGCUCAAAUUUAAAAUCUGGCGGUCUUUGGCUGUCCGAGUUGUAAUCUAGAGAAGUGUUAUCCGCGCUGGACCGUGUACAAGUCUCCUGGAAUGGAGCGUCAUAGAGGGUGAGAAUCCCGUCUUUGACACGGACUGCCAGUGCUUUGUGAUGCGCUCUCAAAGAGUCGAGUUGUUUGGGAAUGCAGCUCAAAAUGGGUGGUAAAUUCCAUCUAAAGCUAAAUAUUGGCGAGAGACCGAUAGCGAACAAGUACCGUGAGGGAAAGAUGAAAAGAACUUUGGAAAGAGAGUUAAACAGUACGUGAAAUUGUUGAAAGGGAAACGCUUGAAGUCAGUCGCGUCGUCCGGGGAUCAACCUUGCUUUUGCUGGGUGUACUUUCCGGUUGACGGGUCAGCAUCAAUUUUGACCGUUGGAUAAAGUUCAGGGGAAUGUGGCAUCUUCGGAUGUGUUAUAGCCCUUGGUCGCAUACAACGAUUGGGAUUGAGGAACUCAGCACGCCGCAAGGCCGGGAAUUUAUUCCACGUUCGUGCUCAGGAUGCUGGCAUAAUGGCUUUAAUCGACCCGUCUUGAAACACGGACCAAGGAGUCUAACAUGCCUGCGAGUGUUUGGGUGGAAAACCCGAGCGCGUAAUGAAAGUGAAAGUUGAGAUCCCUGUCGCGGGGAGCAUCGACGCCCGGACCAGACCUUUUGUGACGGAUCCGCGGUAGAGCAUGUAUGUUGGGACCCGAAAGAUGGUGAACUAUGCCUGAAUAGGGUGAAGCCAGAGGAAACUCUGGUGGAGGCUCGUAGCGAUUCUGACGUGCAAAUCGAUCGUCAAAUUUGGGUAUAGGGGCGAAAGACUAAUCGAACCAUCUAGUAGCUGGUUCCUGCCGAAGUUUCCCUCAGGAUAGCAGAAACUCAUUUCAGAUUUAUGUGGUAAAGCGAAUGAUUAGAGGCCUUGGGGUUGAAACAACCUUAACCUAUUCUCAAACUUUAA
rnacentral:rRNA from 1 species